GACGAACGCUGGCGGCGUGCUUAACACAUGCAAGUCGAACGGAAAGGCCCUUCGGGGUACUCGAGUGGCGAACGGGUGAGUAACACGUGGGUGAUCUGCCCUGCACUUUGGGAUAAGCCUGGGAAACUGGGUCUAAUACCGAAUAGGACUACGCUCUUCAUGGGGUGUGGUGGAAAGCUUUUGCGGUGUGGGAUGGGCCCGCGGCCUAUCAGCUUGUUGGUGGGGUAAUGGCCUACCAAGGCGACGACGGGUAGCCGGCCUGAGAGGGUGACCGGCCACACUGGGACUGAGAUACGGCCCAGACUCCUACGGGAGGCAGCAGUGGGGAAUAUUGCACAAUGGGCGCAAGCCUGAUGCAGCGACGCCGCGUAAGGGAUGACGGCCUC
rnacentral:rRNA from 1 species